rnacentral:rRNA from 1 species
AACCCUGACGCAGCAACGCCGCGUGGGUGAUGAAGGUCUUCGGAUUGUAAAGCCCUGUUUUCUGGGACGAUAAUGACGGUACUAGAGGAGGAAGCCACGGCUAACUACGUGCCAGCAGCCGCGGUAAUACGUAGGUGGCGAGCGUUGUCCGGAUUUACUGGGCGUAAAGGGUGCGUAGGCGGAUGUUUAAGUGGGAUGUGAAAUCCCCGGGCUUAACCUGGGGGCUGCAUUCCAAACUGGAUAUCUAGAGUGCAGGAGAGGAAAGCGGAAUUCCUAGUGUAGCGGUGAAAUGCGUAGAGAUUAGGAAGAACACCAGUGGCGAAGGCGGCUUUCUGGACUGUAACUGACGCUGAGGCACGAAAGCGUGGGUAGCAAACAGGAUUAGAUACCCUGGUAGUCCACGCCGUAAACGAUGGAUACUAGGUGUAGGGGGUAUCAACUCCCCCUGUGCCGCAGUUAACACAAUAAGUAUCCCGCCUGGGGAGUACGGUCGCAAGAUUAAAACUCAAAGGAAUUGACGGGGGCCCGCACAAGCAGCGGAGCAUGUGGUUUAAUUCGAAGCAACGCGAAGAACCUUACCUGGACUUGACAUCCCUUGCAUAGCCUAGAGAUAGGUGAAGCCCUUCGGGGCAAGGAGACAGGUGGUGCAUGGUUGUCGUCAG